CUUUUCUAGUACCUGAAUUUUAUCAUUUCCAAGUUGUGGAAGAAACAGUCCUUAUUGAUUGAUAAAUGAGCAUUUAUUGAGUGCUUUCUAUAUGUAGAGCUUCUAGUAAGAUACAGACCAAGGCUGGAAGACAGAUAGCAAAGGGCCCUCCAGCACCUGGAAGGUGCUCUGCCCGGAAGGGCUUCCAGUCUAGCUAGAAGACAUUAAAUAUACACAAAAUCACAACUCUGACAUAUAAAACAUCGAGGCAACUUUUGUGGGUACCAGAUCAUUUGGCACGAAGUGGGAACAUGGAGAAGGCCGGUGUGUGGACCCAGCGGUCAGUCACUUCCUCCUCUCAGCUCAGAACCUUGCUAGUUCCAGUUCAAGGACCUGAGAUCUGUCUCCCUGCUGUCUCACCUCUGUCCGGUGACUUAUGUCUGACCUUCCUGGGUGGCCCCCAAAGGCAGAAGCCAGCCCUGUGUCUCUUGUCACUUCCUGCCUACCUUGUCUCUCCACCAGGCUCUGUGUCCACUCCCAGGCAGUGGCCUGGCGGGGCUGAGCUGGACAGGCCCAGUUGAGUGCUCUGGUUUCUUCCAAGGGCUCCCAGGAGCAGGCUAGGGAUUUUCUAGGGAAAAGAUUUUGGCCUUUCAUAAGAAGAGCUGAGUUCAAGUCUUUGAUCCAAUGGUUGUGCAUUAUAGGCCAGUCUCUUACCCUGGGCUUGUGAAUUUAUAAGAUAGGAAGAAGAGUUUUUACCUAUUACACAAAAUUGGGAAGCAAUCACAGGGAUGCUUAAAGGAGUGCUUUGGGAAUAGUAAAUCCUUGUCCUUCCAGACUGAAGUUUUAGGAUGAGGUAAGCCAAUGUGUGUAAAGCAAGCUGGAUGGGGCAGCUCAUGCCUAUAAUCUCAGCUCUCAGGAGGCUGAGGCAGGAGGAUUGCCACAAGUUCAAGGCCAGCCUGGGCUAUGUAGUUAGUUCAGGGGCAACCUGAAAUAUACAACAAGAGCCUGUCUUAUAAAACAAAAAACAAACAAAAACAGUGUGUCAGGCAGACUAUACACUGGUUGGCACUCAGAUGCUCUGUAAGUGCCUCCUUCUCUCCACCCGUCAGUCGGAAUCCUGCACUGACCUCUGAACCUAAUCUGGGCAGUAGGGUCUAGAAGGAAUGGGGAAUCUCCCAUUUAUUUUUUUGGCAAGAUGAAAGCUAGGAACUUGUACGCAUACAAAGAGAGAUUCUUGGUGCCUUGUUUGUUAGGAUGCAGUGGGGUGUGGAUGAGGUGCCUUGCCUCUGACCUUCUAGAGCAAGGAAACUUAGCUACCGGGAGAAAGGGGCUUGGGGGGAGUGUCCUCCCCACAGUAGCUGUGGCCCAGCAAGCCUUUUUCUAACUGCAACGAGACCUUUGGUCAAGGAAGACAGAAAAGAGCCUGCAUGAGAGUGCGCAGCUGCCGUGGAGAUGUCCUUAUGCACAAUCUAUCUGCAAAGGAAAGCCACAGGGAGAGACAAGCACAGAGGGAAUUUGGUAAGUGUGGGACGAACAGACAAAGGCCUUAAAAGCCUGGAGCAGCUGAGAACUUCGAGAAAGGGGCUUCGGGUAUGAUCCCGGGCUAGUUGUGCAGCAGGUUGGAGGGAGGAAGGGCCUGGAUGCUGCAAGGAAGGGAAGAACCGCUGGUAUGUGCAAGGUAACAAGAGGUUCAGAGCUGGCCAGGCAGGGGCUCCCAGGGCUGUCCUUCGCUUUGACCACCAACUAAAAGAAGGGAAGGAGGCUGAAGGUCAGGCCCCUUCUGCAUCCUUCUCCCUCCUGAGGAAGCAGAAAUAAUGAGAAUCAUCCUAGUAAUGUGUGCUACCAGUGUUAAGAAUUCCUCUGCAGGGGCUGGUGAGAUGGCUCAGUGG